rnacentral:lncRNA from 10 species
ACUUAAUUGCUGCCUAGAGCUCAUAGAAGGAUCUCACAGCACUGCUCCAGGGCACUGAAGCUUACAGUGAAAGCACAUUUUCAGCAAGUACUGAAGAUUGUCUCCACGUUGGCUGGUUUGAAACUGUGGUGUAUGUUUAAGCUCAGGCUGGAAAAGGAUCACUGAAAGUCACUUGGAUGGUGUCUCGUGUGUCUGUGAUGAGCUUGCUGUUGCUUUCUUUCUCCUUGACAGAUGAGAAAACAGUGGCUUCAAAGGUUAAACAACUUGUCUUCGAUUGCACAGCUAACAAGAGCUCACUGUCCAAAGGGAGUCUCUCUCCCCGGUCCACAUGCUGAGGCUUGCUCCAGAGUGAAUGUGUGCACUGGAAAGAACCCACACAGGCCCCCUGAGAGCUGUCAGCCUUGCCAGGCUUCUGUGAGAUCCCUGGGUCCGAGUAGCCAAGCUGGGAGGAGCACCAUUUGCCCACUGACUCUUGGGCAACGCUGCAGCCUGCAUCCCAGCCGGCAGAAGGCAGGUGGUAUCACAGCUGAGUUUACAGCCACGGAAGGAACCACUGUAGGCUUUUAGUAGAUAAUAUGUUUUCUCUGCUUCAAAUCCUUAUUUUGGUUGCUUAAAAUUUCUGCAGAAAACAAACAGCUUCUGCCAAAAUUGGCUCACAAAAUUAGCUUACUAGUAUAAUCAGUUGUAUAGCAAGUAUUUACUGAGUAGCUCUUGGAAGGCAGUCAACACAAGAGGGAUGGAUCAUUCUUCCAGUUCAUCACACGUGGGUUGGACAUGCUAACAGUCCCCGAUAGCUAUCAGGCGAGUAAAUGGAUGAUCACACAAAGGCAGAGGCAUCGCAGAAGGAUGCUAACUAGAUGUCAUGCGUCAAGGAUACUACAGAAGGAUCUCUUUGCUGACAAGGAGGGUACCUCUAAGGUUCCUUCAGAUGGGAUGGUUCUCUGUUCACCGUGAUCACUACUAUGCAAAGGCCUGUGGGCCAUUUAGGAGAAAAGCAUUCAGUCCAAUUCCACAGACACAGUGAGGAUGUAAUAUGCCCUAGGCAUAUAUGAGUGGAUCCAAGGAGGAAAUACUCAGUCACUACUGUCAAGAACUCAUGACCUGCUGCAGGGUUUGCCAAACUAUGGCUUGUGGGCCAAUCUGGCUCACCACCUAUUUUAGUAAAUAAUGUUUUACUGGAAUCCAGACACGCUUGUUUGAUUACAUAUUGUCUAUGGCUGCUGAGCACCCACUAUAAGGGCAAAGUUAAGUAGAUAGAGACUUUAUCACCCACAAAACCUAAAAUAUUUGACUGGAUGGCCCUCUACAGAAAAAGCCUGCGAACCUGUGGUCUUGUGGGAGGACACUGCUGGGCACAGUUAACUCUAAUUCUUGGCUGUAGCAUCUUGAAUAGGGUGGCAGUCCCUGGCUGCUGAGGGGGACAGCUGGACGGCUGCCUCCCAGGGGCAUUUCCAUGACUUGCAGGCCCAGAAACUAGACUUGGGCAUGACCACAGAGUUCUUGAUGGACUGAAGAUGCCCAAACCACAGACUGACUUGUAGGCUAGAAAUGAACAUGUGGGGUGGAAUAGUCCUUUUGGGGACUAGAAUAAUUUCUAGAGAGCCACCCUUUCUACAUGAUACGGCGCAC